rnacentral:rRNA from 1 species
AGAGUUUGAUCCUGGCUCAGGACGAACGCUGGCGGCGUGCCUAAUACAUGCAAGUAGAACGCUGAAGGGAGGAGCUUGCUCUUCUUGGAUGAGUUGCGAACGGGUGAGUAACGCGUAGGUAACCUGCCUUGUAGCGGGGGAUAACUAUUGGAAACGAUAGCUAAUACCGCAUAACAAUGGAUGACACAUGUCAUUUAUUUGAAAGGGGCAAUUGUUCCACUACAAGAUGGACCUGCGUUGUAUUAGCUAGUAGGUGAGGUAAUGGCUCACCUAGGCGACGAUACAUAGCCGACCUGAGAGGGUGAUCGGCCACACUGGGACUGAGACACGGCCCAGACUCCUACGGGAGGCAGCAGUAGGGAAUCUUCGGCAAUGGGGGCAACCCUGACCGAGCAACGCCGCGUGAGUGAAGAAGGUUUUCGGAUCGUAAAGCUCUGUUGUAAGUCAAGAACGGGUGUGAGAGUGGAAAGUUCACACUGUGACGGUAGCUUACCAGAAAGGGACGGCUAACUACGUGCCAGCAGCCGCGGUAAUACGUAGGUCCCGAGCGUUGUCCGGAUUUAUUGGGCGUAAAGCGAGCGCAGGCGGUUUGAUAAGUCUGAAGUUAAAGGCUGUGGCUCAACCAUAGUUCGCUUUGGAAACUGUCAAACUUGAGUGCAGAAGGGGAGAGUGGAAUUCCAUGUGUAGCGGUGAAAUGCGUAGAUAUAUGGAGGAACACCGGUGGCGAAAGCGGCUCUCUGGUCUGUAACUGACGCUGAGGCUCGAAAGCGUGGGGAGCGAACAGGAUUAGAUACCCUGGUAGUCCACGCCGUAAACGAUGAGUGCUAGGUGUUGGAUCCUUUCCGGGAUUCAGUGCCGCAGCUAACGCAUUAAGCACUCCGCCUGGGGAGUACGACCGCAAGGUUGAAACUCAAAGGAAUUGACGGGGGCCCGCACAAGCGGUGGAGCAUGUGGUUUAAUUCGAAGCAACGCGAAGAACCUUACCAGGUCUUGACAUCCCGAUGCUAUUUCUAGAGAUAGAAAGUUACUUCGGUACAUCGGUGACAGGUGGUGCGUGGUUGUCGUCAGCUCGUGUCGUGAGAUGUUGGGUUAAGUCCCGCAACGAGCGCAACCCCUAUUGUUAGUUGCCAUCAUUCAGUUGGGCACUCUAGCGAGACUGCCGGUAAUAAACCGGAGGAAGGUGGGGAUGACGUCAAAUCAUCAUGCCCCUUAUGACCUGGGCUACACACGUGCUACAAUGGUUGGUACAACGAGUUGCGAGUCGGUGACGGCGAGCUAAUCUCUUAAAGCCAAUCUCAGUUCGGAUUGUAGGCUGCAACUCGCCUACAUGAAGUCGGAAUCGCUAGUAAUCGCGGAUCAGCACGCCGCGGUGAAUACGUUCCCGGGCCUUGUACACACCGCCCGUCACACCACGAGAGUUUGUAACACCCGAAGUCGGUGAGGUAACCUUUUGGAGCCAGCCGCCUAAGGUGGGACAGAUGAUUGGGGUGAAGUCGUAACAAGGUA